rnacentral:rRNA from 1 species
UACGUAGGCAGCAAGCGUUGUUCGGAGUUACUGGGCGUAAAGGGUGUGUAGGCGGCGCGGUAAGUCGGGUGUGAAAUCUCGGAGCUUAACUCCGAAACUGCAUUCGAUACUGCCGUGCUUGAGGACUGGAGAGGAGACUGGAAUUUACGGUGUAGCGGUGAAAUGCGUAGAUAUCGUAAGGAAGACCAGUGGCGAAGGCGGGUCUCUGGACAGUUCCUGACGCUGAGGCACGAAGGUCAGGGGAGCAAACGGG